rnacentral:rRNA from 1 species
UACGAAGGGGGCUAGCGUUGUUCGGAUUUACUGGGCGUAAAGCGCACGUAGGCGGAUCGAUCAGUCAGGGGGUGAAAUCCCAGAGCUCAACUCUGGAACUGCCUUUUGAUACUGUCGAUCUGGAGUAUGGAAGAGGUGAGUGGAAUUCCGAGUGUAGAGGUGAAAAUUCGUAGAUAUUCGGAGGAACACCAGUGGCGAAGGCGGCUCACUGGUCCAUUACUGACGCUGAGGUGCGAAAGCGUGGGGGAGCAAAACAGG